rnacentral:rRNA from 1 species
AUACGGAGGGUGCGAGCGUUAAUCGGAAUUACUGGGCAUAAAGCGCGCGUAGGUGGUGACUUAAGUCAGGUGUUAAAUCCUUCGGCUCAACCGAAGUUCGCAUCUGAAACUGAGUCACUAGAGUAUAGUAGAGGAAUGCGGAACUCACAGUGUAGCGGUGAAAUGCGUAGAUAUUGUGAGGAACACCAGUUGCGAAGGCGGCAUUCUGGACUAUUACUGACACUGAGGUGCGAAAGCGUGGGGAGCGAACGGGAUUAGAAACCCCAGUAGUCC